UCAUAUGAGUGACACAGAUGGCAGCUGCUUGCAAUAGAUUAUUUUGUGUUUACCUGCGUUUGGAUAAGGUCGGAUACAUAUUUGAUCUGCAUCUAUUUUUGUUUCCUCUGUAAGCACUGUGAAUAAUUUGUUAAACUUAUAAUGAAAUAUGGUUUUCCGAUCUACAAAUUAUGUUCAAAAAUUAGUACCAAUUAAACUGAUCGUCAAUCUAGAAAGCCGUGCCGCAACAAAUAUUCGUUUUUGACCAAAAGAUUUUAGGACCUGUUUAUAUUUCUGUCAGUAUUCUCACAAACAGAUGAUAUAUGAGGGAAUGGCACUCUUCAUGCAGGUCAAACUGAAGAUACACUGGAGAUCAGUUGGUCAAAUGUCCUCUAGUAAUUGGAAUAAAAACUAUUUCUGUUCAUUUGCUAAAAGCAAUUAUGUAACCCAUUUGUAGUAUGUUUGACAAAGCUUCAGUAGUUAAUACAACAUAUGUUUACCUAUUUGACACUUAUUGCCAUAUUUUUUGUGGAAAUAGUGUAAUUUAUGAACAAAGUGCAUCAUGAUGCACACAUCAUGUAACCAAUGUGGAAAGAGUUUUGGAGAAUGCGGUACUCUUAAGAGACAUAUGAGAACACACACGGGAGAAAAACCGUUUUCAUGUACUCAAUGUGGGAAAAGCUUUGGAGAGUGUGGUACACUAAAGAGGCAUAUGAGAACACACACAGGGGAGAAACCAUUUCCUUGUACUCAAUGCGGAAAGAGCUUUAUUGAUUGUGGAACGUUAAAACGACAUUUGAGGAUUCAUACAGGUGAAAAGCCAUUUACGUGUCAACAAUGUGGGAAGAGCUUUGGUGAAUGUGGAACCCUAAAGAGACAUACAAGGACACAUACUGGAGAAAAACCAUUUUCUUGUAAUCAGUGUGGUAAAAGUUUUAGUGAGUGUGGGGCUUUAAAGAGACAUACGAGGACACACACUGGAGAGAAACCGUUUUCAUGUAAUCAGUGUGACCGAAGCUUUGGUGAGUGUGGAACACUAAAGAGGCACAUGAGAACGCAUACGGGAGAAAAGCCGUUUUCUUGUACGAAUUGCGGGAAGAGUUUCAGUGAGUGUAGUACUCUUAAAAGACAUAAGGAUGCGCACUGAUCAAGGCUUCCCGCAAUAUAAGCAUGAUAGAAGAUUCUGCUAAUGAGAUUGCCAUGCCAGACUCUAGAACUCUGCAUAAUUUGAUUUCACAACAAUUUUAUUGGUUUUGUAUGUAUGGGGUGUGUAAACUUCAGUGUCACCGGGCUCCACAGAAGAAGAUAAUUCCAGUUACAGCAGAUCAAAAUAUGUUGAGUUACCAGCAGUAAGAACAUAUGGUGAAGAGUGUAAGGCAAAAAAUCCCUAUAUAAAUCACUGUAGUUUGGUUUUUAAGAGCUGAAUGCAUAUUUAAUCUCG